rnacentral:miRNA from 1 species
UGUGUGUGUGUGUGUGUGUGUGUGUAUGUGUGUAUACAUAUACACACAUAUAU